UGAAGUGUUCGCGCCCUCGUGGCCGGACGCCCACCCACCCGUGUCUACAUACUCUUGUUGCUUUGGCAGGUCGUGCUCACGCACCGCGGGCUCUGCUCGCGCGCACCUGCCAGAGGACUAAACUCUGAAUGUUAGUGAUGUCUGAGUACUAUAUAAUAGUUAAAACUUUCAACAACGGAUCUCUUGGUUCUGGCAUCGAUGAAGAACGCAGCGAAAUGCGAUAAGUAAUGUGAAUUGCAGAAUUCAGUGAAUCAUCGAAUCUUUGAACGCACAUUGCGCCCGGUGGUAUUCCGCCGGGCAUGCCUGUUCGAGCGUCAUUAUAACCAAUCAUGCCUGGCAUGGUGUUGGGGCACGCGGUCUCGCGGCCCUCAAAAUCAGUGGCGGUGCCGGUAGGCUCUAAGCGUAGUAAUUCUUCUCGCUACAGGGUCCUGCGGGUGGCUUGCCAGAACCCCCCAUUUUUUCAGGUUGACCUCGGAUCAGGUAGGGAUACCCGCUGAACUUAAGCAUAUCAAUAAGCGGAGGAAAAGAAACCAACAGGGAUUACCUCAGUAACGGCGAGUGAAGCGGUAACAGCUCAAAUUUGAAAGCUCCCCACAGGGCGCAUUGUAAUUUGUAGAGGAUGCUUUGGGGGUCGGCCCGGUUUAAGUUCCUUGGAAUAGGACGUCAUAGAGGGUGAGAAUCCCGUAUGUGACCGGUGCUAGCCUUCGUGUAAAGCUCCUUCGACGAGUCGAGUUGUUUGGGAAUGCAGCUCAAAAUGGGUGGUAUAUUUCAUCUAAAGCUAAAUAUUGGCCAGAGACCGAUAGCGCACAAGUAGAGUGAUCGAAAGAUGAAAAGCACUUUGGAAAGAGAGUUAAACAGUACGUGAAAUUGUUGAAAGGGAAGCGCUUGCAAUCAGACUUGCGGGCGGUCGAUCAUCCGAGCUUCUGCCCGGUGCACUCGAUCGUUCUCAGGCCAGCAUCAGUUUCGGUGGUGGGAUAAAGGCCUUGGGAAUGUAGCUUCUUCGGGAGUGUUAUAGCCCUCGGUGCAAUGCCGCCUA
rnacentral:rRNA from 1 species